rnacentral:hammerhead_ribozyme from 1 species
GCACUUCUGAAGUGUCCCAGAAUAGAACGAAACGGCCGUUCAGUGC